GUUUUUCACAACUAAUUUAUGAAUAUAUACUUAAAUUUCACUUCUUAUAAAUAUUUAAGACAGAAAAAUGCUUGAAUUUAUCUGUGGAUAUAAAUACAACACACAAAGAUCCUGGGUAUAGUUGAAGUGAUUUCAUAAACUUGAGAAAAUAUUUGGGUACAUGGUUUUCUUGAACAAAGCAUGAAACCAUAUGAAAGAAGGAAAGAAAAUGGUUGGACAUAUUACAUUUUGAGGAUGUAGGGGAAUUGAGUUACAGAUGUUCUAUGUAACCCCAUAAAGAUUAAUGCACACUGAUGAAUCACUGACUGUAGGAGCUCCCACUGGACAACAGGAUGAAGAAGAACAUCACAAUAGAGAUCGAUACAUUUGUCACUGCACAGCAAAAAACAGGGCAGCUGGUCUGCUAGACAUCUUACAGUAACCCACUCCUGCUGCCUCUUCUGCUAUUCUUGAACUUGGGACAGCUGCUUUUCCACUUGGGGAGGCACUUUAUUGUCUGGAGGUGACAACUCACAAGUACUCUUACCCAUCUAUUUAUUAUCCACUGUGAUGCCUUGCCAACCCUAUCAUGCUUACUAACUAUGUACUUUAGGAUAUAUUUUUACCAAUUACUUCCACUCGUACCUUCAAGCACAGCACCAGCUGGAAUCACUAGGAAUGAAGUGUUAGUGCACAUACAGCAAUCAGGUGGUCUUCAAGUGAAUUUGCCAGAGAAAUGGCAGCCUGUGGUUACAAUCCUGAC